GGCAAACUUUUAAAAUGAAUAAUAAGGUACCAACAACCAUUAACCUAGCUACCUGGCUGAGUGAAGUGGCUCAGAGCAUUUGGCUCUGCAUGGAUUAGUGGAAUGCUGGUAAAUGUUUAACAAAUGGCUUUCAGAAAAAUAAAUUACACAUAAUAUAUCUUUAAGUUUAAUCUGUAUAAUCCAUAUUUUCUCCAUCACUUUAAAACAAGACAGUCAACAAAAUAAUAAACUAAGCCCUUAUUCAUAGUACUACCCAUUUGGUAUAAAUGCUCAAAUUGGAAUUUUCCUAUUGGCUCUCUGGAGCCACAGUCCUAAACACAGCUCCUCCUGUCAGGGAUGACCUUCUAACCAUUGAAUAAUUAAAAAAAAGAACCUUAGCAGAUCUCAGUAGAGCAUUGGCCUUGAAGAAGGUAGGUGGCUGGAGCCCAGAAGCUAGCAGCAGACAGUGCAUUAGUGAUCACAUGUCUAUCAGAGAUGAUGCAAUGAAGAUGAUGGAAGCAGUAGUGAUGACAGGGUGUAUAUACCCAGUGGCCAGCAGAGAGCAGUGAUUAUGUUAGAAGAAAUCCACAACUCCUCAGGGUUGAGGAUGCAGGUUGUUCUGUUUCCUGUGGAUGUCUCUUGGCCACAGGGGGUCCAUAUGUGUAUGGCCUUCUCAGAUGCCUCUUAUCUACCCAUUUUUGCUCUUCAGAUUCCUAAAGGAACAAGUUGGAAAACUGCCUGAUGAUUCUCCCUGCGACUUUGGGAGAGCCCAGAUGCAUUCAGCUUUAUGUUCCCUAAAUUUGUGUUAGAGAUGAACCAGCAUGUACAUGUGGACUUGAAAUCCUUCAAAAAGAAGCUGCAUAACCCCCUAUUGGAUAUUGUUGAGGACUCAUAAUUUGUAUGGGGGUCAAGUGAGAUCUCAUGGAUUUGAACCAUGCAAUUCUAUGACUUUAUGAACCCAUAAAGAAACACAAACUAAAAGCCACUCAGUUUUUGAUUAUUUUUAAUAUAUUGGCUUCAAAUUCUUCCCAAAAGGAAUUUCUUAAGGGGGAGGGAAGACACAGAGCUUUUGGAGCUACUAUCAAGACAAAGGAGUUUUAUGAACUGGGAAGUGGCAUAGUCAUUUAUGUAAGCAAAAAUUUUUAUUUUGCCUCACAUUCACUUCUUUAUGGUUUAGAUGAGAAUUUUCCUCCUUGUCAUAACUUAUACUUUAGCAAUAAAUCAUGUUUUUCUCAAAUUGUAUC
rnacentral:lncRNA from 1 species